AGUGGUGCUACGACGAAAAAACAACGAUUUCAACGCACAUUUUUACCAAACAGCGAUAAAAAUCGUCUAACUUUCGUAAUAUCACCUACAAUGCAGCCUUUUUCUUGUUGACAAACGUAAACAAACAAAAAACACUUUUGUUUGUAUUUAUAGAAUUUUAUUUAUAAAAUUUUAUUAAAUAAUUUUAAUUUAGAACACAGUAUAUGUUCGAAAAGGUAAAGGAACGUGUUAUUGCCGAAAAGAGGUUUGUUAGCAGAUAACACUUACUAUGGUCCCCAAUGAUCUUGCAUCCAGUUGAGUCUGCAACUUAAUCCGCAACCAUCGAUCACAACAACUAUAGUACCUUGGAAUAAAAUGGAGGACAUAACAUGGAUUACAAUGUACUCAACAACGUUUGCAACAAGUACCUGGAAAAAAAUCAGUGCAACCCAUCUAUAAUAUUGAAUCCCAAAAUAUCAAAUUGGAAAUACAGGAUCUUUAGCAAAUCCAAAUGUUGGCAUAUUUUUUAUAAUAUUGAUCUUUGAAAAUGAGAAUGCGACCAUUUAAUGUGAAAUCGGAAAUACAGGAUCCUUAUUAAAAGCGAAUAUGCAUAUGUACAGUUAAUCUCAAAAAUAA